rnacentral:rRNA from 1 species
AAGUCUGGUGCCAGCAGCCGCGGUAAUUCCAGCUCCAAUAGCGUAUAUUAAAAUUGUUGCGUCUAAAAAGCUCGUAGUUUGAAAACUUGCCUUGGCUUACACUCGGUCCUCAUGGGCCACCGUUUGUUGAGCGCAAAUAUAGAUGACUGUUUUUGCCGACUUCAUUGUUGGGCUUAUAAGAGUUAUCAAAUAUCACUUUGAUUAAAUUAGAGUGCUUAAAGCAAGUGUGUUACUUGGAUAUAAAUGCAUGGAAUGAUGGAAUAUGUUGUUGUUCUAUUUGUUGGUUUUUGAACGAUGAAAUGAUUGAAAGGAACUGUUGGGGGCAUUCGUAUUGUUGUGAGAGAGGUGAAAUUCUUAGACCACAGCAAGACGAACUACUGCGAAAGCAUUUGCCAAGAAUGUUUUCAUUGAUCAAGAACGAAAGUUAGAGGUUCGAAGGCGAUCAGAUACCGCCCUAGUUCUAA